rnacentral:rRNA from 1 species
GCCUACGGGGCGCAGCAGUAGGGAAUUUUCGUCAAUGGGCGCAAGCCUGAACGAGCAAUGCCGCGUGAACGAGGAAGGUCUUCGGAUCGUAAAGUUCUGUUGAAGGGGAAAAAGGGCGGAGAGAGGAAAUGGUCUCCGAUUGAUAUUACCCUUCGAGGAAGUCACGGCUAACUACGUGCCAGCAGCCGCGGUAAUACGGAGGAUGCGAGCGUUAUCCGGAUUUAUUGGGUUUAAAGGGUGCGUAGGCGGGCUGUUAAGUCAGCGGUAAAAGCCCGGGGCUCAACCCCGGCGAGCCGUUGAAACUG